GAGGAAUAUUGGGCAAUGCCCGCAAGGGUGACCCAGCAACGCCGCGUGGAGGAUGAAUGUCGUAAGAUUGUAAACUCCUGUUAGAGGGGAAGAAUAGUACCGGUUGGACCGGCAUAUGACUGUACCUAACGAGAAAGCCCCGGCUAACUACGUGCCAGCAGCCGCGGUAAUACGUAGGGGGCAAGCGUUGUCCGGAAUUCUUGGGCGUAAAGCGCGCGCAGGCGGCUUAUUAAGUCUGAUGUGAAAGCCCACGGCUCAACCGUGGAGGGCCAUUGGAUACUGGUAGGCUUGGGUGCAGGAGAGGAGAGCGGAAUUCCCGGUGUAGCGGUGAAAUGCGUAGAUAGCGGGAGGAACACCCGUGGCGAAGGCGGCUCUCUGGCCUGUAACUGACGCUGAGGCGCGAAAGCGUGGGGAGCAAACA
rnacentral:rRNA from 1 species